rnacentral:rRNA from 1 species
CCCGCACACGCGGUGGAGCAUGUGGUUUAAUUCGAAGCAACGCGAAGAACCUUACCAGGUCUUGACAUCCCCUGACAACCCGAGAGAUCGGGCGUUCCCCUUCGGGGGACAGGGUGACAGGUGGUGCAUGGUUGUCGUCAGCUCGUGUCGUGAGAUGUUGGGUUAAGUCCCGCAACGAGCGCAACCCCUAUUGUUAGUUGCCAUCAUUCAGUUGGGCACUCUAGCGAGACUGCCGGUAAUAAACCGGAGGAAGUGGGGAUGACGUCAAAUCAUCAUGCCCCUUAUGACCUGGGCUACACACGUGCUACAAUGGUUGGUACAACGAGUUGCGAGUCGGUGACGGCGAGCUAAUCUCUUAAAGCCAAUCUCAGUUCGGAUUGUAGGCUGCAACUCGCCUACAUGAAGUCGGAAUCGCUAGUAAUCGCGGAUCAGCACGCCGCGGUGAAUACGUUCCCGGGCCUU